rnacentral:lncRNA from 1 species
CAAAGUCUGUUACACUUUUAGGUUACUAAAUAUUACCUGCAUCACCUGAGGCUUGUCUUUCGUGAAAAUACAGUUUGGUUUAUCAAAUUCAAGCUGCAGUUUAUUCCAUGUUUCUUGCAAGUGAUUUGUCUAGGCAUGUAUUGCUCUGGUCUAGUGCAGUGCUGUGUUUUAUGAUACCUCAUGCUAAUAUAUUACAUUGCAGUCACAGUUAGUAUUUAAAGCAAAAAUCUCUUUUGUUGUUGCUGUUCUAAAAUAUGUGGGUUUGUUUCCAAAAUGCUGUCAUUUGAACCUUUAUUGAGGUGUCUCAGGAAAUUGUAUUGCAGGUUAUUUCAUGUACAUGGUCAGGAAACUCAGUAAUUCACUUUAUCUAUUCACGUGAAUCUGCUGACAGAGUUUGGGGGUGAUUGACAGAAAAAAAUAGAUGACAUUUUUGGUUUUUUGUUUUUAAUUUAUGAAAACCCCAAGUUUCUGUAAAAAUAUUUUUCUGGGAUAAAUGGCUGGUAAUGACAGGAAGAAGGAAAAAACUCCAAUCAAGAUCCAGUGUGAUUCAGGAGAUCUGUUAGUAUUCUAGAUCCCUUGGAGAAAUGGAAGCGUUAAAUAUGUUUUAACUCAAACUUGGAAUUUUAAUCCUUUUCCCCAUACUUUUAUGACAUCUCUUAAGAAGCAGUAGUUUAAAUCCAGUUAAAUAAUUGUGACAUUAAUUUAAUCAGUAAGGAGAGACCUCACAAGAUUUACCCAUGGAAUUGCAACUGAAGCUUUGAGAGAUGUUUGUAUUGUGAACCAACACAAGUUACAAAUUGUGAAUAAGGUGUUUUGGUAUUUCAUUUGAAGCAGCUACCUCAGAGAUCAAUAUCAGUAUGGCUCCAGGAAUUGUGCAGUUUGUCAGGUUCUGUAGAAAGCUGGAACAGCAACCCUUGAAAGCAACAAUUUUCCUGAAAAUUCCAGCCUGGCAUAGACUCCUGUGAUAGAAAUAAAGAACUGAAACCAAGAAAAGCUGAGGAACCG